UACGUAGGGUGCGAGCGUUGUCCGGAAUUACUGGGCGUACAGAGCUCGUAGGUGGUUUGUCGCGUUGUUCGUGAAAACCGGGGGCUUAACCCUCGGCGUGCGGGCGAUACGGGCAGACUGGAGUACUGCAGGGGAGACUGGAAUUCCUGGUGUAGCGGUGGAAUGCGCAGAUAUCAGGAGGAACACCGGUGGCGAAGGCGGGUCUCUGGGCAGUAACUGACGCUGAGGAGCGAAAGCGUGGGGAGCGAACAGG
rnacentral:rRNA from 1 species